UANNACCACGAGAAAUCGGGGCUAAUACCGGAUGUGUCAUCGGACCGCAUGGUCCGCUGAUGAAAGGCGCUCCGGCGUCGCCCAUGGAUGGCUUUGCGGUGCAUUAGCUAGUUGGUGGGGUAACGGCCCACCAAGGCGACGAUGCAUAGCCGACCUGAGAGGGUGAUCGGCCACACUGGGACUGAGACACGGCCCAGACUCCUACGGGAGGCAGCAGUAGGGAAUCUUCCACAAUGGACGAAAGUCUGAUGGAGCAACGCCGCGUGAACGAUGAAGGCUUUCGGGUCGUNNAGUUCUGUUGUAAGGGAAGAACAAGUGCCGCAGGCAAUGGCGGCACCUUGACGGUACCUUGCGAGAAAGCCACGGCUAACUACGUGCCAGCAGCCGCGGUAAUACGUAGGUGGCAAGCGUUGUCCGGAAUUAUUGGGCGUAAAGCGCGCGCAGGCGGCCUCUUAAGUCUGAUGUGAAAGCCCCCGGCUCAACCGGGGAGGGCCAUUGGAAACUGGGAGGCUUGAGUAUAGGAGAGAAGAGUGGAAUUCCACGUGUAGCGGUGAAAUGCGUAGAGAUGUGGAGGAACACCAGUGGCGAAGGCGACUCUUUGGCCUAUAACUGACGCUGAGGCGCGAAAGCGUGGGGAGCAAGACAGGAUUAGAUACCCUGGUAGUCCACGCCGUAAACUAUGAGUGCUAGGUGUUGGAGGGUUUCCGCCCUUCAGUGCUGAAGCUAACG
rnacentral:rRNA from 1 species